AGAGUUGAUCUGGCUCAGGACGAACGCUGGCGGCGUGCCUAACACAUGCAAGUCGAACGAAGCACUUUCUCGGAGAUUCGUCGAAGAGGGAUUGACUUAGUGGCGGACGGGUGAGUAAUGCGUGAGCAACCUGCCCUUCAGAGGGGGACAACAGUUGGAAACGACUGCUAAUACCGCAUGAUGUGACCGGGAGGCAUCUUCUGGUCACCAAAGAUUUUAUCGCUGAAGGAUGGGCUCACGUCUGAUUAGCUGGUUGGUGGGGUAACGGCCUACCAAGGCGACGAUCAGUAGCCGGACUGAGAGGUUGAACGGCCACAUUGGGACUGAGAUACGGCCCAGACUCCUACGGGAGGCAGCAGUGGGGAAUAUUGGGCAAUGGGCGCAAGCCUCGACCCAGCGACGCCGCGUGAAGGAAGAAGGCCUUCGGGUUGUAAACUUCUUUUAUGAGGGACGAAGGACGUGACGGUACCUCAUGAAUAAGCCACGGCUAACUACGUGCCAGCAGCAGC
rnacentral:rRNA from 1 species